AUUUCAUUGAUUGAUUCAGUUCCUUCGUUUUUCAGUUUCUCUGAGUCACAUCUAUCAUUGCUGGGGAACCAAGUUGGUUUUUCUCUGACCUGGGACAUUAGCACAAACUGUCCACAAGAGCCUCAUUGGUGUGAUAGAGUGAGAUGGUCAAGAUGGCUGCCACCCUUUCCCACUUCUGCAAACACAUGCACAUCCUGAGGGGAAUCAACAAUGACCAACACACUCACUCAACUCUAUAAGGAACAGGUGUUAUUUUAAUGUUGAUACUAUUCAAUUUUUACACUGAAACAUUGAAGAUAUAUUUGAUUCUAGUGGUGAUAUGAUUACAGACAAAAAUAUAUGGGAAAGGAAUCUAGAUAUGAACAUUGAUCAUCAAGUGUACAGUUUAGCAUGCUGAAUCAUAACCGAGUACCAACGGCGAUAGAGGUAACCCUUUUUUAUAAUUCAUAAUAUCCUGGAGAAUACCAGCCAGAAAGCAGAGAGAAGUAAGAGCUUUUCAGCCAAAGGUAGAAGUAGUAAUAUAGUUGUUAUGCAGGAGAUGAGACCUGUAAUAUGGCUGUUGUACAGUUUACUGAAGACUAAUUCUGUGUGUGUCAUAAGCCUUCAAAAUGUAUCACCUAUGGAUCAAAAUAUUGCCAAGCACAAAUUUGUAAGAUUAAAUAUAAUUAGAAGUAGUGAAAGCCGGGCGGUGGUGGCGCACGCCUUUAAUCCCAGCACUUGGGAUGCAGAGGCAGG